GACAGAGGGUGCAAACGUUGUUCGGAAUUAUUGGGCGUAAAGAGCGUGUAGGCGGCCUGAAAGGUCAGCUGUGAAAACUCGAGGCUCAACCUCGAGACGUCGGUUGAAACCAUCUGGCUAGAGUCCGGAAGAGGAGUGUGGAAUUCCCGGUGUAGCGGUGAAAUGCGCAGAUAUCGGGAAGAACACCCGUGGCGAAGGCGGCACUCUGGGACGGUACUGACGCUGAGACGCGAAAGCGUGGGGAGCGAACAGG
rnacentral:rRNA from 1 species